rnacentral:lncRNA from 1 species
CAAAGUUGAGUUCCUCCUUUUCACCUAGACUUUUUAAAACUGGUUUGGCAAUUUUAAUGGGCGAGUUGUUACUGUUCAUGAGCCCAAAAAUUUUCCUACAUUGUUCCUAUUGCUUUUGCUUUUGCAUUCUAUCAUUUCCCUUUCUUCUUUGACAAUCAAACCCUAGAAUCGCCUUUGAUAAUUUUCAUCAAAUCUUCCGCAAAAAUUGUUGGGUUCUGUUUAUCUUUCGUUGGGUGUCGAUUGUUCUACUUUCCUCGCUUUGUUUUGACUACUGCUCACAAACUGGUUUCCCAGCCGUUGAAAAUAUCUCUUCUAAAAUUGCUUUUUAUUCUCUCUCAUAACUCUCUCCUCUCUACUUCCAUUUGAAGAGUAGCUCCAGAUUUCAAGACACUUCCCUUUUUUUUUCUUCAAGCUUUGGCAGUGAUUUGGAGUUAGGCAAAAGUAUUCCCCCAAGAUUCUUACAACGGAGAAGAGAACUAUACCUGUGUAAGUCCCUUUCGUCUAAGAUUUGGUUAUUUGCAUUUUUAGUUCGAAAAUUGAACUGGGUUUGUUGUGUUCUUUUUGAUUUUCUGUGAUUUAUUCAAUUUGAUUAUUUCCUCAAACAUAAUUUAUUUUUCGCUUUUUUAUUACGAAAAUUGAACUGGGUUUGAUGGAUUCAUUUUGAUUUUUUACUUCUAUGUGAUUUCUUAUAUUGAUUCAUUUCCACUUGAUUCUUGAUCUUCCGUUUUGUUUCUGGCUCUAAUUUAUUUACAUUUUGUUCGCAAUUCAAGUGAGAAAGAAAAUUAUUUAUUUACCUGGUGAAGUUAUGACCUCGAAUACUCCGUCAUCAAGUGCUGGGGAAAAUGAAUCAAUGGAUUCAGUAGCUCCCACAAUUGUUUCAGUUCUUCGUUGGCUUUUGUUUUCACUCUCUUCAUCUUUCUUGUUAGAACAUAUAUAUCUUUUUGGUCUUGGCAAUGAUGUCAUAUUGUCACCUAUGCAUGGAUUUGAAAUUGUCAACCUGAUUUUUGAUGUGAAGCGUUGCCUAUAGGUUAGGAAAAAUUCGCUCAUUCGAAUCCUACAAUUUAAUUAGUUAGAUUCUUUUUUCCCUUCUAAGUAAACAUUUUCUAUCUUCUAAGGUUUUAAAAUUAUAUUAGUAUAUCAUUAAUUGUUUAGGUCUUUUGCAGGCAUUUCUGGGGGUUGCAAAAGAUCUUAAUGCUAUUGUGAUUGCACUCAGAGGGACUCCGAAGAGCAGUUUUGGCCUAUAUUGGUUCUUCAUGUUUUUAUCAAUUAUAUGAUUACACGUCUUACCUCAAAUUUGAUGCUUGAAUUAAAGUGUUUCAGUACUAACUUCUUUUAUGAAUUGAGUAAAAACACGAAACUGGUUUCACUCCCUGCCUUAAUAUGCAUCAAUCUUUAUGAUGUCCUAGGGCUCAAGCUUCGGAGUGUUGCUAAAACUUAGUUAAGCGUUUCAAGUAUGAAACAUAAAGGAAAAUUAUAUGGGAUUAUCAAAAAUAAAUGACUAAUGUCAUUAAUAAUAAUAAACUAACUUUUUUAAAACAAAGUCAUGAAUUCAAUAAAUUUUGACAUAAAAGAAAAAAUACUUCGAUGAUAAUCACUUAAAUUCAUGAAAAAAAAAUACAAAAUACAAAAUACAAAAUCCCAUCAAUUUGUUUUCAUACUUGAUCUGAUUCGGGAUCAUUCCAACACUAGCCAACAAUAAAGCUUUCAGAGUAACUUUGAUGCUUGUAGCAUCAUUCCUUUCCUUCCACUCUUCAAUUAUUGCCUUUAGAGCCACAUCGACAAUCAAAUAUGUGUUUUUUAGUUUCAAUCCACAUUUUAUCUUAUACGUGCUUCUUGUUUUUCGAGAGAUUGUUUUAGAUAAUUUCAUCUUUCUUUUUUUCCCCCUUUAAAGCCAGUUAGGCAGAUUGCUAUGUUCGCUAAGACUAUUUUCCAUACUUUUUCAUUGCAAGUGGUUCGCUAUAAAUUUGGUAUCUUAGACAUUUUGAUAACAAUUGUUCUUGCAACAACAGGUAUGUGAUGUGUGCAUAAAACUAUAUGCAUGGUACACUUCCAAAUUAGUUUAUAUUUGAUCCUCGAAAUCUUAUUUAUUGAUAAAUGUUCUAUAGCCACAGAAAAGAGAGUUGAUAAAUUAAAUCAAGAGCGGUGUCUAUGACAUUAACUGGUACAUCAUCCCAAGUUCUGCUGGUGCGGCAAAGGUAUACAACAAUCUCCAUUUGAAAAAUUUAUUAAUCUGUAAAUUUUUUAGCUGAUCCGUUUAAGCAGAUAUAAUCGACCUAUGGUUUGUGUAUAGUGUGCCUAUGCUUCUUUUUUUGGUGGUCCAUGUCAAUUGUGAUACUGCAAUAAGUACACAUGGGAGGGAGAGAACUUUCCAUAAAUAUUUUUAAAAUAGAAUGUUCUCAUUCAUAUUGCUUUUGAGUUAUUUAGUCUUUUUUACAACAUGAUUUUUAGAUGAGAUGGUCAUACAAUCAUUCAAUAAAAAUGUAAAUGUCUAUUUAGUUUGUUUGUGCUCUUUACCAUGCAGAAUGAAUGUUUAAACUAAAGUGGAGAGGUAGCUUUUCAAGAUCAAAUUUUAGAUCCCUAUUUUCUGAACUACUAGAUUAUAAAACAUUGGCUUCUAAAUGUUUGUACUUUCCUAUAUUUACAAAUCAG